UAUGUGAUCGUCUCUCGCAUAUCAAUAAGCGGAGGAAAAGAAACUAACAAGGAUUCCCCUAGUAACGGCGAGUGAAGCGGGAAGAGCUCAAAUUUGAAAUCUUAAAGGGUUUCCCUUUACGAAUCGUAGUUUAAAGAAGUGUUUUCUGUUGAGGUUUUGGUAAAAGUUCUUUGGAAUAGGACAUCAUAGAGGGUGAGAAUCCCGUAUUUGACCUUUACUUUCAACUUUGUGAUACACUUUCAAAGAGUCGGAUUGUUUGGGAAUGCAGUCCAAAAUGGGUGGUAAAUUUCAUCUAAAGCUAAAUAUUGGCGAGAGACCGAUAGCGAACAAGUACCGUGAGGGAAAGAUGAAAAGAACUUUGAAAAGAGAGUUAAACAGUACGUGAAAUUGUCAAAAGGGAAGCGUUUGACACCAGUGUUGUUUUUCUGAAAAUCAAUUAAAGAACUGUUUAUGCUAAGUUGUUUAGACUUUAUCAGCUAACUGUUUAGUUUUGAGCUUUUCUUUAAUGCACUUUUCAGUUAACAAGUCAACAUCAAUUUCUUUUGCUGUAAAAAAGCUUGAGGAAGGUGGCUUGAGAUUCGUCUUAAGUGUUUAUAGCCUCUUGCCUAUGCAGUCGGAGAGAUUGAGGUCUGCAGCGUAGAUCCUUCGGGGCUAAAUGCAUUUGUGCUAAGUUAUAGCAUUUUAUAGACAACUUGUUGACUAUGAUUUGUCUUGUAGCUUACUCGCUUAUGUUAUUUUACCUACGCUUAGGAUGUUGAUCUACAGAGCGAGAGU
rnacentral:rRNA from 1 species